rnacentral:lncRNA from 1 species
GUAAAAAAAUACAAUCACUCAGCUGACGGGCAGGCUCCUUAUCGUGGAUGCAGGAGAGGGACCACCAGAAAGCACUAGGAACUGAGCCCAGGACCUCCAACAACACACCAGUCAAGAACUCUACUACUGAGUUAUCCUCCCAACCUCUAGUAUGGGUAGAGGGAUCCUGGAAGACAGCCCGGAGGAAGAAGUCACCAUUUGCUACAGAGGGGACAAAUGGCUCAGAAUGGCAAUUCAGGGCCCCCAGCUUUCUGUUUUUAGGUACGCGUUCACACUGCACACGGGGAGUGUGUGAGUGUGUACACACAAGUAUACCCUGGACCAGGGCUCAGACCCCUCCAUCGUUCCCAACCUGCAGCUGCUCCCAGAGCCGACUCUGUGAUUUGUAGUGCAGGCCACCCAGGGACUUUAAUCUUCACCGUGACAAAUGCAAUAAAAGGAACAAUUUGGAGAUCAGA